rnacentral:sRNA from 1 species
AUGCUGCGAUCUUUCAUGAUAACUUAUUGUUGCUGAGUUAAUAAUGGCAUUAUCAACAAUUAUAUCCGGUACUAGGAUUCUUCGAGUUCUUCAGCGCUGUUUUAUUUGAGUUUUUCCCAUCUCAUAUCCUCCCUGCUAUUGCAUUAGUUAGCUAGUCAAGACUAGUUUCGGUGGUUAGUUUCACCGUUAUUGAUCCCAUCCCCAUCCGCAUCCCCAUCCCCAUCCCCAGACUGCAGCCGACAUAUCAAAAUCCCCCCGUUCACUCCGCUGCUUGUCCACCUCGAUAUCGUCGGUCCCCCGGCAAGGCUCCGUUUCCAAUGCAGUAAACUCCAGCCGCAACAGCAGAAGCAGAUACAUAGAUUUAGCUACUAUCAUUCAACCUCCCACCCUCCCCUCCCUCCUCCUCCUCCUCCUUUCCCCAUUCUCUCUCUCACUUUCCUCCACACUGCCCUCUCAUCCUCUAACCCUGAUGAGGCUCGGGGCGCUGCGAGUCCCUGUCGCUGUCCGAAAAUACCAAUACACGCUGACAUCUGGUUGGUAACUCUCCAAUCAGCGGUUCCGACAUCUUACCAUCGCCAUCACCAAAGAAAAAAAAUAAAAUAAAAUAAAUAAAAGAAAAAAAGAACAAGAAAAAGAAAAAGAAAGCUGUCGCUAUUUACCAUCUAACAAUCUCAGGCACCAAGCCUCCAAAAAACCCCCAAAAGCAACCAACUCUCGCUUCUUUCUCUUCUCUCGUUCUCCACUCCCGCGCUUCCUCCGCCUUCAUCCCUCCGCCAUCUUCUCUCUUCUAUCCUUUCACUCUUUCUCUUCUCCCCACCCUUCCACAACAUUUCCUUACCUUCGUUUUGGGAAGAUUUAAAUUCUUUCGUUUGUCCUCUCACCUCUUGGGGCUUAUUUGCACGGCUCUUUGAUUUUAAUCAAUUUGUUUGUUCUAUUUUUGUUCCGGUUUUUUUUCUUUUUCCCUCCUACUUUCGUUCCUUUUUUUUUGUCCCGAUCUUAUCUCCUCGAGGUCCAGAACCUCUCACCCUCACCCGCCCCUCCUUUUUUUUUUUUUUUUAAAAAAAAAAAAUAACAAAAUUCUCCCGCCGCAUACAUAAUACAUAAAACAUGGCACUGGAGAGUAGUACCCCAACAGGUGGUGGUGCCCCUGCGGGUAACUCCAGCGAUUUUGUCCGAAAGCUCUACAAAAUGCUCGAGGAUCCGUCGUACUCGCAAAUUGUUCGCUGGGGAGACGACAAUGACAGCUUCGUCGUAUUAGAGUGCGAAAAAUUCACCAAAUCAAUACUUCCGAAGCACUUCAAACACAGUAAUUUUGCGAGCUUCGUCCGACAACUCAACAAGUACGACUUCCAUAAAGUCCGCCAAAAUAAUGAAGAGUCUGGUCAAUCACCCUACGGACCCAAUGCUUGGGAGUUCAAGCACCCCGAGUUCAAGGCCAACAACAAAGAAUCAUUGGAUAAUAUUCGGAGGAAAGCCCCAGCGCCACGAAAACCCGCCCAGUUGAACGAGGAAACAUUCCAUACCCAACAGUUCGACAUGCUGAACCAGCAACUUGUAGCUCAGGCCCAGCAGUUUCAGCAGUUAAGCGAUCGUUUCUCACAAUUGGCUUUGGAAAAUCAAAUGAUGCAAACUGAAGUCCGGAGAGUUCAGAAAUCGAUGUUAAGCCACGAGCAGGUUCUCCACUACAUGAUGAACUACCUGCAUGGCGUCGAUGCACGACACAGACGAGAGAGCAGAACACAGGUGUCGUUCCAGGGGACCACCGGGCCAGACUUAAGCCCUUCCCAAGUUGCACCGGCUGAAGAGGAGGCGGCUUCUCCUUUACAGCAAGCCAGCAAAAUUCUGAGCGAGCUGAGCAACGAAAUUCAAAUGAACUUGGGUAGUCUGGAAUCCAUGACCGACAUUCAAAGUCGGCUUCCCGGAGCCGCCCCCACGCCGCCUCUUGAUCAGACUCAGCGGAAUGGAACGAUAAGGCCUCCCACUUCCUCUGGUUCCACAUCGUCACUGGGAUAUUCUAAGCUAAAUGGCGAACUGGAACAGCUGGUUUAUCCCGUUGGUGCUCCCAAUGGGAUUGAACCACUGUAUAGCGAGCAUGUUAACAACAUUCCGUAUUCCUUUCCCCCUAAAGAGCUCGAUCCUAAUGACCCAAGGCGACAAUACGUGGAUGGACGCAAGAAGAGCAUGUACGUAAACCCAGGUUGGGUACAGCCUCCGCGCAUUCUCUUGGUUGAGGAUGACCAGACUUGUCGUCAAGUUGGUGGGAAGUUUUUGCUUUCAUUCUGUUGCACUGUUGAUUAUGCGCUCGAUGGCCUUGAAGCCGUUAAUAAAAUACAAGAAGGUUCUAAAUACGAUCUCAUCUUGAUGGAUAUCAUUAUGCCGAAUCUUGAUGGCGUUUCCGCUUGCAGUGUAAUUAGAAGGGUUGACACUACUCCGAUAAUCGCCAUGACAUCAAAUAUUCGCAGCAGCGACAUUGAGCUUUAUUUCCAGCAUGGCAUGAACGAUGUUCUUCCAAAACCGUUUACCCGCCAGAGCCUCCUCACUGUGCUCGAAAGACACCUAAAUCACCUAAAAACUAUACCAAACACAAUGGAAGCACCACAAUCAGCCAUUAUUGCGCCCAUCGCCCAAAACUCAGCUGCGCAGUCCGUCAAGGACGAGAAUUCUCCAGGCCAAUCGCCAGCUGCAUCGAUGAAUAACUGGCAGUCCCCCGGCCAAUUCCAGGGCAUGUCGCCCAUCACCCCCAGUGUCCCCAGUCAGUACAUGCAGCAGCAAACCCCAACCACUGCAGCUGCAGCUGCAGCAUUUGCGCUAGACCAAAACGGGGUCCAAUUCCCACACCCACAACCGCAACUCUCCACGAUGAACCCCACGGCGGCCACGGCGUCACGCGUCCAAAAUCGCCGUCAGAUGUCGGACAUAGCUGGCGCAGCCGAUGGGAACUCGUUCCCUAAACGACAAAAGAUCUUUACGCAUAACACUCAGACAGUUGUGAAUCCCAUGCAAACGAAUCGCAUAACCUAAAGAUUCCGUUUCUAUAUAUGUUUCGCUUCCGGCAUCGGUCGUAUCAUAUCGUGCCGAAUCCAUGUCGUUUCCUGUUGGCAAUGCCGCCAUCGUGCGUACUUCUUCUUAAGUCAUGGCUCCUCUUCUCAUCCCCCUAUCGCUCUCCUCCUUUGACUUUUUAUUGUUCUUUUUGGCCUAUUAAAAAGGUUUUUGGAUGGAAGCCAGCACCCUUCCUCUCCAGUUUUACCACGCAAACACACACACACAUAUAUAUAUAUAAAUAUAUGAGGAGACAGUGUACUGUGUGUCUAAUGGGUAUAAAGUAUUCAUUUUCUUUCACUUGUUCUGGUUGAAACCUGCUGAAACUGUCUUCCUCAUCAUUUACACAUUACCAUUGUCAUGUUCGUACGAAGGCUAUUUUUAUCUUUACCCUAUCUUGCUGGCACACAAAUCGAUAAUGUUAUUUACCACUACCUGGGGUUCCCACGGCCCCGGACAAAGCGAAACUUCACGUCGUUAUAUUUGAUUUGCUGUUUUGAAAACUCACCUCACUUCCCUUAUCCCUCUAAAUACUCCACACGCAUGACUUGAGUUAGCCAUCUCUUGUCUCUCCCCCCCUUUCUCUCUUUUGCUCGCAGGGCAUACCAAAUCAAAAGACACACUCUAUUGGCGUUUUAUGGGUGAACCAAUCUGGGAUUUCUAUUUUCAUUUUCCUUUUCUCUUGCUCAUUUGUGUCACUUGGGGGAAAAACAUAGUCUAUUGAUAUUUCUUAUUUCAUUUAUUUUGUUGUCUUAAAUCGGAAAUGUACUUAUGAGGCGGAAAUCUCGUCAUCUUCAAUCCACGACCACAACCAACAGCCACAGCCACUACAAACUCAUCAUUGUCAUCACCAUUAUACUACCUACCUAUCCCCUUUGCCCGCAGCUGGGGUCGUUUCUUUGUUCGUGAUAUUUGGAUAUAUCAAAUUGGUUUCUUUCAUGUGGCACAUACAUGUCCUUGGAUGGGCGGAUAUAUGAUAUGGAUCUAAAUCGCAAGGUCGGUUUUCUGUUGUUCCUAUAUAGGGUAAAUAGCUUUGGAUCGACGCGCGCGGGAAACCGGAGUGCCAGUAGGGAAAGCCUGGGACGGGGACGGGGGAUGACGGAAACCCGUGUGUAUGAGGUUUUUUUAUUUUUUUUUUUUUUCCUUUGGAUAACGGCACCCCGUCCUAAGGUUCCUUCCGCUGUGUCAUUAUUGGAGGGCACCGCUUCGGAAUAAAAGAGCAAUUCCAUUCUACUUAUCCGGGGGUUUCACAUUCACCGAUGGGAUUCCCCUUGCUUAAUAUAUCGGUUUCAUGCUCUACUUAUAUAUCUUCUUAAUACGUUUUCUAUUUUUUUUUUUUUUUUUUUUUUUUUUUUCAUUUCGGAAACGGAUGCAUAUGCAUACAUACACAGAUAUAUAUGGAUGCGUUGAUGUCCCACAUCGUGCACACUGCCGUCUAUCUAAUCCAUCCAUCCAUAUCCGUAUAUUUGGCAGUACAGUACAGACAAGAAGGUAGGAAGGCAGGUGAGAGUUGGAACGGAGAGUAAAACAACACGAAAAGCGCCAUUAAUCUAUUUCUUUGCGCUCUCUCUCCUUUUUUGGUUCCCUCUCGCUUUCAUUGGCGGCAAAUCUCCCUAUUUGUUCCCCCUUAUAUAUUAUCAUCUUGAUCAUUACUAAAUACACGGAUUGGGAUGAGAUGGGAUGAACAAUGAAAUGAAAUAAGAUUUGACGUCAAUUCUGGGUUGGAAAAAACGGGUGUCUCUGGAAGAUAUCGAUAAUGAUACAUCCAUGGAGUAUUCACUCAUUGUUUUCGAUUCUCCCUAUAUUCCGUAGGUCGCGCGGCCUCUUCU